UACGAAGGGGGCUAGCGUUGUUCGGAAUUACUGGGCGUAAAGCGCACGUAGGCGGAUAUUUAAGUCAGGGGUGAAAUCCCGGGGCUCAACCCCGGAACUGCGUUUGAUACUGGUUAUCUCGAGUCCGAGAGAGGUGAGUGGAAUUCCGAGUGUAGAGGUGAAAUUCGUAGAUAUUCGGAGGAACACCAGUGGCGAAGGCGGCUCACUGGCUCGGUACUGACGCUGAGGCGCGAAAGCGUGGGGAGCAAACAGG
rnacentral:rRNA from 1 species